UCCUACGGGGGGCAGCAGUGGGGGAUAUUGCACAAUGGGGGAAACCCUGAUGCAGCGACGCCGCGUGCGGGAUGGAGGCCUUCGGGUUGUAAACCGCUUUUGUUCAAGGGCAAGGCAGGCUUUCGGGCCUGUUGAGUGGAUUGUUCGAAUAAGCACCGGCUAACUACGUGCCGGCAGCCGCGGUAAUACGUAGGGUGCAAGCGUUAUCCGGAUUUAUUGGGCGUAAAGGGCUCGUAGGCGGUUCGUCGCGUCCGGUGUGAAAGUCCAUCGCUUAACGGUGGAUCCGCGCCGGGUACGGGCGGGCU
rnacentral:rRNA from 1 species